rnacentral:rRNA from 1 species
GACGAACGCUGGCGGCGUGCUUAACACAUGCAAGUCGAACGGAAAGGCCCUGCUUUUGUGGGGUGCUCGAGUGGCGAACGGGUGAGUAACACGUGAGUAACCUGCCCUUGACUUUGGGAUAACUUCAGGAAACUGGGGCUAAUACCGGAUAGGAGCUCCUGCUGCAUGGUGGGGGUUGGAAAGUUUCGGCGGUUGGGGAUGGACUCGCGGCUUAUCAGCUUGUUGGUGGGGUAGUGGCUUACCAAGGCUUUGACGGGUAGCCGGCCUGAGAGGGUGACCGGCCACAUUGGGACUGAGAUACGGCCCAGACUCCUACGGUAGGCAGCAGUGGGGAAUAUUGCACAAUGGGCGGAAGCCUGAUGCAGCAACGCCGCGUGCGGGAUGACGGCCUUCGGGUUGUAAACCGCUUUCGCCUGUGACGAAGUGUGAGUGACGGUAAUGGGUAAAGAAGCACCGGCUAACUACGUG